rnacentral:rRNA from 2 species
CCAGCCCAAUAGCGUAUGUUAAAGUUGUUGCAGUUAAAAAGCUCGUAGUUGAACCUCGCCGCCGGCUCCGGGUCCCCCUCACGGGGUGUACUCGUCGCUUGCGGCUUUGCUCUACUAGUGUGUGCGUUCGCGUGCACUCAUAGUGGAGCGUUUACUGUGAGAAAAUUAGAGUGUUCAAAGCAGGCGUUUCGCUCGAAUACGUUAGCAUGGAAUAAUAGAAUAGGACGAAGGUUCUAUUUUGUUGGUUCUAGGACCGUCGUAAUGAUUAAUAGGGAUGGUCGGGGGCAUCAGUAUUCAGUAGUAAGAGGUGAAAUUCUUGGAUUUACUGAAGACUAACUGCUGCGAAAGCGUUUGCCAAGGACAUCUUCAUUAAUCAAGAACGAAAGUUAGGGGAUCGAAGACGCUUAGAUACCGUCGUA